UGCCCAUGUAUCCCUAUUUAUUUGAGCAAUUAUCUAUCAUCGGAGCAUGUGCGUAAGAUAAAAGUAUGGUUAAAAUUUGAAUUGUCACAAUAUGAAAUUACGAACUAUGAUAAGUUAUGAAUUAAACGCGGUCGAUAACGUUGAGCUACGUCCAUGGAUAUUUGACAGUGUCAUGUAUAUCUGUAUGCGUAGAUUUCGGAGAGCAGAGAAUAUUUGAUAAUAGCUUUAGGGUCCGUAUUACGUAAUUACUAAUUAACAGAAGAUAUUAUAUCAUCACCGUGUAAUAAAUAAAUAUUAGAUACUCGUAUAAAAAAAUCUUAAGUUCCGACAGUUUGUGAUAAAAAAGUAAGGUUAAGUUGAAUAGUUUCUUACAGUAAUCAUAUUGUAUAUUUAGUGAGGAGAAGUUAAUGUAACAUAACACAAUUGGGGUCUGAGGAAAGUGUUAUUUAAGAAAUAACUAAAAAAGGAAAAUUAUGUUCGAGUCUCCGAGAAGUUUACAGGAGGUUUGUGUAGACUUUAUUUGCGACAAUGUAUUGGUAUUGUGCGAAGUUCAUUCCGGCGAGUGUGGGUUUCCUGUUAGUACUGUGCCACCCACUGUUCCUGAUGAAGAGACAAGUAUAGAUGACAGUAUAUCAGUUUCGACUGUGUCAUCAAGUAAUAGUGGAGCAUCUCUUAGUUUAUCUACAAGUUCAACGACAACACUCAGUUUCAAAGAUGCCGAUGCAUUUUUACCUGCUGAAAUCUCGGAACAACUUUUAUCGAGUCUAUGCGAAAGAAAAGCAUUAUCAGAUUUGACUAUUACAUUAUUUGAUUCAAAGACAACCAGAUUAAGGCAUGUACGACUUAAAGAUGCUUCGAGUCUUUCAAUAAAGGGUUUGAAGGUUUUACGCCAACAUAAAGUUGUAGAUUUGGAAAUAAAUGGACUCAAGGUAACAGUUAAUGAUCUGAUUGGCUGCUUAGGGGACUGGAGCUUACAAAAUCUUAGAUCGUUGAGUGUGGCAAAGGGUAGUUUUAUGGAUUGUUCCAGGUAUUGUGUUGUUAUGGCAUUGAGCAAACUACGAGCAUUGCAGACCCUAAAUGUUUCUGGAACAGAAUUCAAUAAGCACGGUCUUGAGAUUGUUGUGGACGAUCUACCCCUUUUAGAAAAUUUAGAUAUUUCUUGCACUAGAGUCAAUGAUAUAACACCAUUGAGAAAAUGUAAAGAUCGACUGAAGACUCUGACAAUGUAUAAUUUAAAACUCAGUGGCUGUGGCCAUGUGAUACCGGUAUUAUUGGAACUGAACGAAUUGAGAAACCUGGAUAUAUCAGAUGAGAGAGAUUCCUUCCCAUUCGAAAUGUUUGUUCCAGCUAGAUCUAAAAUAACAGAUCUAUUAAAAGCUAAACACUGCAUGCCGUAUCUAGCUAGUCUAGAUAUCUCAGGUAAAAGAAAAGAUCAAAUAGAUGCGAAAGAUUUAAGGGCAUUUGUUAAAGCUCAUCCUCAUCUACGAUUCUUGGGCCUUGUUCAUUCAGAUGCAUGUUAUGAAGACAGUCUUGUGAACCCAUUCAAUGAGUACUACAGACCUCAUCUUGUGGUGAGUGGUACCGCGUCAGAACCACAGAUCUUGGAAUCCCUGAAACGGUAUUGGUGCCGCCCUAUUUAUGUUCAAAAAUGUCUGUAUAAUUUGUUUCGUCUGACGCCCAACUUUGGUGAGCCAAGAGUUGAUGUCAUAAAGCUAGUUUUGCCAGGCAUGAAGGCUCAUCCACAACAGUUUGGCGUACAGAUGGCAGCAACAGCUUGUCUCUACAACCUUACAAAAGGAGAAUUGGCAACAAAAAUCCAUCCAUCGAUAUUAAAACAAAUUGUUGACUUGACCCUCACUGCCAUGGAGUCAUUUCCUAACCAUUACCAAUUGCAGAAAAAUACUUUACUGACACUAUGCAGUGAUAGAAUAUUGCAAGAGGUUACUUUUGAUAAGUAUAGGUGUGCGAGGCUUGUGAUGAACUGUCUAUCGGCAUUUGAUGAUGCUUCAAUGAACCGAAUGUCAGUGGCAAUUUGCUCAAUCCUGGCAGCUAAGAUCUCAACAGAUGAAACGUCUAUGCUGGGAGCGCAACCGCAGUAUAUGGCCAAACUGCUAGCAAUGGUCCGGUCCAAGGUGCCAACUAAAUCUGUAGAUAUUACAAUGAAAUUUACAUUGAGCGCACUUUGGAAUCUGACGGACGAAAGUGCCACAACUUGCGCUGUAUUUCUCGAAGAAGGUGGUAUGGCUCUGUUUCUUGAAGUACUAGAAAGUUUUCAAGGCGAGUCAAGUGUCGAAACCAAGGUUCUGGGUUUACUGAAUAAUAUUGCAGAGGUACCCCACCUUAGACAGUGGCUGAUGCAACCUCGUUUCAUAACGAUGCUGUCUUCACUUCUGGAUUCUGAGCACAUUGAUGUAUCAUAUUUCGCGGCAGGGAUUGCUGCACAUCUAUUAAGCGAUGGACCUUGUGUGUGGGCAGUGAUACCUGCGCUACCACCCAGAUCUGAGUUGUUGGAUCAACUAGCCCAAGCUGUCGCUAACUGGCAAACACCGGGAGGUGAAAUGGUUGCUUACCGAAGUUUCCAACCAUUUUUUCCUCUAUUGCGUUGUGCAGAUGCACAUCCUGUGCAACUAUGGGCUGUCUGGGCAAUACACCAUGUAUGCACUAAAAAUCCUAAGCGUUACUGUGCGAUGCUAUCACGGGAAGGAGGUGGUGCCAUCCUAGCAUCUUUGGCCAAGGAAGACGGAGAGGGAUGUACUCAGCAUACAGUGCGUACUUUGUGCCUCUCUGUGCUCGAAGCACUCGCCACACACUGUUGACCUGAAGUACACUUUAUAAUUUGACUAUCAAAUACCAUCUAUUUGGUAUACUAGUCAAUUUCAUUCCUCUGUGGAAGCGAAUUUCGAUUCAAUGAUAUACUUAAAAAUGUCAGCGCAAUUCAUCUUUAAAAGAAACAUUGAAUUUAAAAAUUCUAUAUACAUUAGGGCGAAGUAAAAAUGCUUGAGUUAUCAUGAUUAAUAGCCUUAGUCUGGACUAGUUGUGACUCGAUAAUUGUAAAAAAAAGUGCUUAAAUUUGAGUCCAUCACAAUCCUUUGACCUACUCCAAAGUCGGUUACACCUAUCACUGAUCAUUGACGACAAAUUCGUUCAUAUCUAUACUCCUCAAUACUGAAUGGGUUCCUACCUGGAUCUUAGAACAGUCGACUAAUUUUUUCUACAAUCUGUGGAUUCUGUAGUGCAUAUAAACUUUCAACAUUUUUGCAGGAGUGAAUCAAAAUAACUCAUCAACGCUCCAUUUUCAGUGAUGUCAAGUCACAACUUCUCCGUACUACAGCCACCUAAUCUUUGUAAUUCUAAUAUUUUUGCUUUGUACCAUAUUAUAUACGUAGUUAUUACUGUUGACGGAGGAAAAAGGCUGUGAAGGAUGACGCGUGGUCUGCGCUGCGAAGGCAGCCAUUUCCAGGGAGCGUGGGGACUGAAUACUUGCAGCUGAAAGAACAAAGCCAGACCUUGUUUGGCUUCCCCUAUUAUAAAUAUUGGAAGAUUCAUAAUCUGAUAUGAACAAGGAGUUUUAACCUGCAUAAAAUGGGUCGAGAUAUUUUAUUGAAUUUUAUUAUUCAAUUUUCAUAUUAUUUAAAUCCACUGAAAAAUUUUUAAUAUUGUUUACAGUGUACUAGAUAUUUGUUACAUAAAAUCCAUCGUUAUCAACUUUCAAGAAAUAUCAAAGGGGUAAACAUAAAGCAAUAUCUCAAGUUUUUAGCUUGCUUUGUACACAUCCUGAUCCAAAAUGCUACAAUAUUUGAUUAUAUCAUUGUAUGUAGAGUUCAGUAUCACUGCCUUAGAUUAUAUUCUGUCAGGACGCGUUUAAUUUAAGCAUGCACGGUAUGAGACAUGUGUUUACUACACAUGCUCGAAGUUCCAAUAACAAUUGGAACAGGCAUCCAGCAAAUGCUAUUGGAUUUCAGAUAGCGGUACCAAAGUGCAGAUCUGGUGAAGUUUUUAUUUUUUCUUCACAUCUUUUUUGAGCUACCCUAUGUCAAUCGCUUGGAAGUUCGCUCAUUUAUUCAGCCUAUAGUAGAUGAUGAAAACUAAUAUUUUUCAAUUGGAAUAG
rnacentral:misc_RNA from 1 species